rnacentral:tRNA from 1 species
GCCGUUAUAGCUCAGUGGUAGAGCGGCUGUUUUGUAAGCAGCGGGUCAAGGGUUCAAAUCCUUUUGGCGGCACCA